rnacentral:misc_RNA from 1 species
GAAGCAGAAGGCGGCGUUGAGGGAGGUGUACAAGAAGAAGAAGUUCAUGCCGCUGGAUCUCCGUCCGAAGAAGACCCGCGCCAUCAGGAGGCGUCUCACUGCCCACCAGUCUUCUUUGAAGACUGAAAGGGAGAAGAAGAAAGAGAUGUACUUUCCAAUGAGGAAAUAUGCCAUCAAAGCUUGAGGAGCUUUUCUGCAGUUGUUUUUUGAGUUCAAAAGUCUAGUUUUGUACUAGGAAGUUUCUAUUACCCUUUUCUUAAGGUUUUGCUCUGAUGUUUUGAAUUUUAAGAGGCAAAUACUUGUUAUGAACUCCAUUUGGGAUCUGUUUAUUCGGAG